rnacentral:misc_RNA from 1 species
GAUGAGGAACGUAGCGAAAUGCGAUAAGUAAUGUGAAUUGCAGAAUUCAGUGAAUCAUCGAAUCUUUGAACGCACAUUGCGCCCGCCAGCAUUCUGGCGGGCAUGCCUGUUCGAGCGUCAUUUCAACCCUCGAGCCCCCCCGGGGGCCUCGGUGUUGGGGGACGGCACACCAGCCGCCCCCGAAAUGCAGUGGCGACCCCGCCGCAGCCUCCCCUGCGUAGUAGCACACACCUCGCACCGGAGCGCGGAGGCGGUCACGCCGUAAAACGCCCAACUUUCUUAGAGUUGACCUCGGAUCAGGUAGGAAUACCCGCUGAACUUAAGCAUAUCAAUAAGCGGAGGA